AUUGAACGCUGGCGGCAGGCAUAACACAUGCAAGUAGAACGAGUGGCGGACGGGUGAGUAAUGUCUGGGAAACUGCCUGAUGGAGGGGGAUAACUACUGGAAACGGUAGCUAAUACCGCAUACCAUCGGAUGUGCCCAGAUGGGAUUAGCUAGUAGGUGGGGUAAAGGCUCACCUAGGCUACGAUCCCUAGCUGGUCUGAGCGGAUGACUAGUCAAACUUGUACUGAGACACAGUACAGACUCCUACGUGUGGCAGCAGUGGGGAAUAAUGCACAAUAGGCGCAAGCCGUAUGCAGCCAUGCCGCGUGUAUGAAGAAGGACUUAGGGUUGUAAAGUACUUUCAGCGGGGAGGCGUUACACGCAGAAGAAGCACCGGCUAACUCCGUGCCAGUAGCCGCGGUAAUAC
rnacentral:rRNA from 1 species